rnacentral:rRNA from 1 species
UUAAUUGAAGAGUUUGAUCAUGGCUCAGAUUGAACGCUGGCGGCAGGCCUAACACAUGCAAGUCGAGCGGCAGCGACUUAACUGAACCUUCGGGGAGCGUUAAGGGCGGCGAGCGGCGGACGGGUGAGUAAUGCCUGGGAAUAUGCCUCAGUGUGGGGGAUAACUAUUGGAAACGAUAGCUAAUACCGCAUAAUCUCCGAUCUUUUACGAGAUGGGAGCAAAGCGGGGGACCUUCGGGCCUCGCGCGCUGAGAUUAGCCCAGGUGGGAUUAGCUUGUUGGUGAGGUAAUGGCUCACCAAGGCAACGAUCCCUAGCUGGUCUGAGAGGAUGAUCAGCCAC